CUUGUUGGGUCUGAGAAGGCUAAGUGUGGGGAUUCAGUAUUCUCAAACGAAAUACUGAGGACCACUAAGCAAGGGAAGGCAACAGCAAAGGAAGUGGAGGCAGAAGAAGCCUCAGGUAGCACCUGAGCCUGCCGGGUCCCCACAGGGACCACCUGUGACCACUGGCUCCCAACGAAGAGGAAAGCUCAGGAUCCCUGAGUAUCUGAGGAUCCCUAUAUGCUGCAGCAUCUCCUCGAGCCUCUCCUGUACAAUGUCUACCCAUGUCUUCCAAAUCCCCACAGGAACCCUGUGCAUGCCGGGACCCCAUGGGGAGCAGGAGCGCUUGCCAUGUCUCCACCGGCAGAGGCAGUGCCUGCGCCUGCUGAGCCUCCGAAAGGAGCAGCAGAGCCCUCCAGGACCAUGAACACAAGAAAACUGAGGCUCACUGAACAUCAAACCAUGCCUGUCUCUGCCACCCCGAGAUAACCCUUGCCCUUCAGGACCUCAACAGUAGCGCCUGUGAAUUCUGGGACCCUACAUGUGACCAAAAGUUCCCCACAACAGGGAGCACAUUCCAGAAUCACAGAGCAGCAGAGGCAGAAGCGGAGGGAGCUUUGGAGACAGCAUCAGAGACAGCGGAAGCGGAAGAAAGCAUCAGACAAUGUACUAGAUGUGUGUGACCUACCUCCAAAGAAAAAAAUACUGAGUGUGGAAAUCAACAAGGUGCAGCUGAAGCUCUAACUGUGGAGGCAGAAGCAUCAAGCCCCUCGGAUAAACACUUCACACCUGAACUAGAGAACUCUGAGCCUCAGCUCACCUUGAAGAUGGACCCUGCAGAUGUGGACCAGCGGUCAACUACAGAAAAAAAGGAGCGCAUGGCAAACAAAAUCAAAGACCAGCAGUUGGGGCCAAACGACUUAAAGCAUUUGUGUAGUAUAUUAAUAUGUUUAAUGGAGUAUUUGUAAAUAUUUAAUGUUUGUAUAUUUUGUGUUUGUAUG